rnacentral:rRNA from 1 species
AGAGUUUGAUCAUGGCUCAGAAUCAACGCUGGCGGCGCGCUUAACACAUGCAAGUCGCACGAGAAAGGGAGCAAUCCUAAGUAAAGUGGCGCACGGGUGAGUAACACGUGGAUCAUCUACCUUUUAGUGGGGAAUACCUCUGGGAAACCGGAGACAAUACCGCAUAAGCCCGCAAGGGGAAAGCAGCAAUGCGCUGAAAGAGGAGUCCGCGGCCGAUUAGCUAGUUGGCGGGGUAAUGGCCCACCAAGGCGAAGAUCGGUAGCCGGCCUGAGAGGGCACACGGCCACACUGGCACUGAAACACGGGCCAGACUCCUACGGGAGGCAGCAGUGGGGAAUCUUGCACAAUGGGCGAAAGCCUGAUGCAGCGACGCCGCGUGAGCGAUGAAGCCCUUCGGGGUGUAAAGCUCUUUCGACGGGAACGAUAAUGACGGUACCCGGAGAAGAAGCUGCGGCUAACUACGUGCCAGCAGCCGCGGUAAUACGUAGGCAGCGAGCGUUGUUCGGAAUUACUGGGCGUAAAGAGUGUGUAGGCGGUGCUCCCAGUCUGUUGUGAAAUCUCCCGGCUUAACUGGGAGGGUGCAGCGGAAACUAGAGUGCUAGAGGGUGGGAGAGGUAAGCGGAAUUCCUGGUGUAGCGGUGAAAUGCGUAGAUAUCAGGAGGAACACCUGGUGUAGACAGCUUACUGGACCACUUCUGACGCUGAGACACGAAAGCGUGGGUAGCAAACAGGAUUAGAUACCCUAGUAGUCC